AGCAGCCGCGGUAAUUCCAGCUCCAAUAGCGUAUAUUAAAGUUGUUGCAGUUAAAAAGCUCGUAGUUGAAUUUCGGGACCAAUUUGUUGGUCGUGCCUCGGUACGUACUGGUAUUAUUGGUUUCUCCCUUCUGAAGAACCUCGAUGUCAUUAAUUUGGUGUCGUGGGGAAUCAGGACUGUUACUUUGAAAAAAUUAGAGUGUUUAAAGCAGGCAUACGCUUGAAUACAUUAGCAUGGAAUAAUGAAAUAGGACGUUUGAUUCUAUUUUGUUGGUUUCUAGGAUCGACGUAAUGAUUAAUAGGGAUAGUUGGGGGCAUUAGUAUUCAAUUGUCAGAGGUGAAAUUCUUGGAUUUAUUGAAGACUAACUACUGCGAAAGCAUUUGCCAAGGAUGUUUUCAUUAAUCAAGACGAAAGUUAGGGGAUCGAAGACGAUCAGAUACCGUCGUAGUCUUAA
rnacentral:rRNA from 1 species